AGUGAACGCUGGCGGUAGGCCUAACACAUGCAAGUCGAACGGCAGCACAGUAAGAGCUUGCUCUUACGGGUGGCGAGUGGCGGACGGGUGAGGAAUACAUCGGAAUCUACUUUUUCGUGGGGGAUAACGUAGGGAAACUUACGCUAAUACCGCAUACGACCUACGGGUGAAAGCAGGGGAUCUUCGGACCUUGCGCGAUUGAAUGAGCCGAUGUCGGAUUAGCUAGUUGGCGGGGUAAAGGCCCACCAAGGCGACGAUCCGUAGCUGGUCUGAGAGGAUGAUCAACCAAACUGGAACUGGGACCCGGUCCAGACCCCUACGGGGGGCAGCAGGGGGGAAAUUUGGACAAGGGGCGCAAGCCUGAUCCAGCCAUACCGGGGGGGUGAAGAAGGCCUCCGGGUUGUAAAGCCCUUUUGUUGGGAAAAAAAAGCAGCAGGUUAAAACCCCGCUGUUCUGACGGUACCCAAAGAAUAAGCACCGGCUAACUUCGG
rnacentral:rRNA from 1 species